rnacentral:rRNA from 1 species
UGGGGAAUAUUGGGCAAUGGGGGAAACCCUGACCCAGCGACGCCGCGUGGGUGAUGAAGGCCUUCGGGUCGUAAAGCCCUGUCGGGAGGAACGAAUGAUCUCGCGGCAAAUAGCCGCGAGAUGUGACGGUACCUCCGAAGGAAGCACCGGCCAACUCCGUGCCAGCAGCCGCGGUAAGACGGAGGGUGCAAGCGUUGCUCGGAAUCACUGGGCGUAAAGGGUGCGUAGGCGGUCUCUCAAGUCUGGCGUGAAAGCCCAGGGCUCAGCCCUGGAAGUGCGCUAGAAACUGAGAGGCUUGAGUGCCGGAGGGGAGAGUGGAAUUCCCGGUGUAGCGGUGAAAUGCGUAGAUAUCGGGAGGAAUACCGGUGGCGAAAGCGACUCUCUGGACGGCAACUGACGCUGAGGCACGAAAGCGUGGGGAGCAAACAG